GGGCAGUAGAGUGCAGCUAGAGGAGCAGUCACGGGCGUUACCCUCCCACGGGGCCCGGGCGGGCGUCCGGGGACCUCCUGGGACUCGGUGGCGCGGACGACCUUCUCCCCAGAGAGACAGAGCAGCAGCGACCCUGAGGGGCCCUUCUGGGCCAUGAGGGCGCGAGGCUUUCUUGAAAACAGAGCAGCCUCUGCUUACCCUGCAGGCGCUCUGGAGCUGCAGGAGGCCGUUUCCAGAAAGCACCGGAUUCAGCCUAAAGCAGUGCUCUAGGGUGUGCCAGGUACCCAGCUCACAGAGUUGAAGGCCACAGCCCUUCUUUGAGGAAUUCCGGGUCUGGUGGAGAAGCGGACCACGUGUACUUGACCACCACACACCUAUGUGAGCAGCAGCUCAGGAAGGAACACGGGGGCCAGCGAGGUAUGAGGCCACUCUUCUGGCUCUAACGCCCUAAGCAUUUAGUCUGGCCACCUCUAACACAGCCACAUCAAGCCCUCAGUCCCACCCUUACUGGGUCCAGAAUACCUGUGCAAAGCCACAUCCUUUUUCCUCUUUUAUCUGGCAGAGGCUCAUUCCUCUCCAUGUUUCAACGCCCAACCCAGAUGUUGCCUCCUCUGAGAAGCCACACUGAUUUUCCUGGUGAUUCUGGGACAGAUUUGUGGCUCCUGCUCAUUGGGCCUGCAGCUAGCAGUGCCACCAUUCCAGCGGCACCAUGUUGUACCUGGAUGGCCACGGAUCUCCCCAUAACUCACUUAUGCCCUUGUGGUCAGUUCAGGCCACUGCAGUCUGCGUGAUCUGAAAGCAGUAGUAGUAGUAGUAGCAGCAGCAGCAGCAGCAGCGGCGGCGGCGGCGGCGGCGGCGGCGGCGGCGGCGGCGACUUUUGGUACUAUUUCAAAAAGUAGGUGGGGUGUGGUGGCUCAGGUCUGUAAUCCCAGCACUUUGGGAGGCCAAGG